CAGUUGAUAUUAAUGAUUGGAGCUCAGAUUGAAUGUAAGUUACAAAUAGAAGAUUUAAUGACUAUUUCUAUGAGUGAAAUAUGAACAGUUAUAUCAAGACCAAGUUAUUAAAACAAAAUCGAGAGCUGAAGCAAAUAUGAUUCAGGAUAUAGUAAUUUAUUGUUUGAUUUUUUCAGGCAUUAGAUUUACUACUGGUCUAUCUGAUAAUUCACUGACUUAUUUUGAGACUUCUCCCAGACAAAAUGAAUCGAUCCCUGCUGGCUAUGGUGGAGAUUGAUGUGCUGUGAAUUUCAUAAUCACCCAAAUGAGUACCAGAGGAGUCUAAGAAACCUUGGCAACUGGCUACUUGCUUUCACCAGGAAUAGGGACCUUUUGUCUGAAAUUUCCUGCCCUCAGAUUGCACCUCCUUACCUAUCUUUUUUGGCCUGGCUUGUACUAAGCCUGUUGAGAUGUGGUGUUAUGAUUUCUUUCUGAGUUUAAACCACAGCUAUUCAUGAGUUUAUUCAAGUUACCUAUCAAGCUUAAUUACUUGGUAAUUUCUUUACCUUCUCAUUUUAAUCAGUUAUGAUUCCUUUAUACUUAAAUAAUUCUUGAAUUUAUGUUCUUUCUCCUGAACCUAGCACAGAGCCGACUUCUUGGCAUAAAGUAGAUAUCAGCAAUAUUUGAAUAUCUCUGUUGUCACUACUCAGAUUUAACUCAUAAUUUCUUGCAUCAGUUAUUGCAACUAAGUAUUUUCGUUCCCUUCUGUUCUCAUAUUUCAUUUUUCAUCCUUGGCACUGUUACCAGAGAGAUCUUUCCAAAAUGCUAAUCUUAUUUUAUUUCCUGAUAAAAACUAGGAUUUUUGUCCAAAACAUAUUAAAAUAGAAUGUCACUGCAUAAAAUAGACAAAAGUAGAAUCCCUCUAGUUGAGUUAGUAAUUGGGUCAGCUGUCAUAGCCUUUCCCUUUUUACUUCUUCCACCU